rfam:Streptococcus equi subsp. zooepidemicus H70, complete genome
UUAUUGCUGUGGCAUACGAAUUCACAUCUAAGUGUUGACCGACUAUUUUUUUGUAUUUUAGGGAAACAAAGUCUAUCUCUAGUAUGCAAGCCGUUUCACGCGGAAGCAAUCUGAAGAGAAGUAUGUUGCCCACCUGCUUAUAUCGUGCGGGUUCAAUACAAAACGUGAAUCACCGGUGCCAAUACAGCUUUCCU